UGGAACUGAGACACGGUCCAAACUCCUACGGGAGGCAGCAGUGGGGAAUAUUGCACAAUGGGCGAAAGCCUGAUGCAGCAACGCCGCGUGAGCGAUGAAGGCCUUCGGGUCGUAAAGCUCUGUCCUCAAGGAAGAUUAUGACGGUACUUGAGGAGGAAGCCCCGGCUAACUACGUGCCAGCAGCCGCGGUAAUACGUAGGGGGCUAGCGUUAUCCGGAAUUACUGGGCGUAAAGGGUGCGUAGGUGGUUUCUUAAGUCAGAGGUGAAAGGCUACGGCUCAACCGUAGUAAGCCUUUGAAACUGAGAAACUUGAGUGCGGGAGAGGAGAGUAGAAUUCCUAGUGUAGCGGUGAAAUGCGUAGAUAUUAGGAGGAAUACCAGUUGCGAAGGCGGCUCUCUGGACUGUAACUGACACUGAGGCACGAAAGCGUGGGGAGCAAACAGGAUUAGAUACCCUGGUAGUCCACGCCGUAAACGAUGAGUACUAGCUGUCGGAGGUUACCCCCUUCGGUGGCGCAGCUAACGCAUUAAGUACUCCGCCUGGG
rnacentral:rRNA from 1 species